rnacentral:rRNA from 1 species
UUUCUGCCCUAUCAACUUGUUGGUAAGGUAUUGGCUUACCAAGGUUGCAACGGGUAACGGGGAAUCAGGGUUCGAUUCCGGAGAGGGAGCCUGAAAAACGGCUACCACAUCCAAGGAAGGCAGCAGGCGCGCAAAUUACCCAAUCUAGACAGUAGGAGGUGGUGAAGAGAAGUACCUAGUGGUGGCCUUAAUGGUCCCAACUAGGAAUGAACGUAAUUUAAGCAAUUCGAUGAGUAACUACUGGAGGGCAAGUCCUGGUGCCAGCAGCCGCGGUAAUUCCAGCUCCAGUGGCGUGAUUUAAAGUUGCUGCGUUUAAAACGCUCGUAGUUGGAUCAUGCAAUAACAUGUAGUAACACUGGUUGGUAAAUUUGACGAUUCUCUUCUUGAUUAUUGGAUAAUUAUCGACCAGUGUGUUCAUGCUACAUGUUAUUAUUUGCACACAAGUAUGAUAUUUGGGCUUAAGUGAUUCGAGUAUCAUGUCUUGUGGAGUGUGCCUUGAAUAAAACAGAGUGCUCAAAGCAGGCGAACGCUUGAAUGUUGUAGCAUGGAACGAACAAACGUGUAUUUGUGUAUAUUUGAACGGUCGGUGGCAACACUGACUGUUUGGGUAUAUGCAGCACCCGCCGAAAUGCGAAUGUUGGUUUUCGUAUAAGGUGAUGAUUAAAAGAAGCGGUUGGGGGCAUUGGUAUUUGGCCGCGAGAGGUGAAAUUCUUGGACCGGCCAAGGACUAACAGAUGCGAAGGCGUUUGUCUAGACCGUUUUCAUUAAUCAAGAACGAAAGUGGGAGGUUCGAAGACGAUCAGAUACCGUCCUAGUUCCCACUAUAAACUAUGCCGACCUGGGAUCAGUUUAGUGAUUAACAAGCUCUAGGUUGGGCCCUCAGAGAAACCA